GUGCUCGCUUUGGUAGCACAUUCACUGAACUGGAACGAUGCAGAGAAGUUUAGUGUGGCCCCUGCGCAAGGAUGACAUGCAAAUUCUUGAAGCUUCCGUAUUUUUC